rnacentral:rRNA from 1 species
CGGAGGGUGCAAGCGUUAUCCGGAUUUACUGGGUUUAAAGGGUGCGCAGGCGGAUAUGUAAGUCAGUGGUGAAAUCUCCGGGCUUAACCCGGAAAUUGCCGUUGAUACUAUAUAUCUUGAAUGCUGUGGAGGUAAGCAGAAUAUGUCAUGUAGCGGUGAAAUGCUUAGAUAUGACAUAGAAUACCUAUUGCGAAGGCAGCUUACUACGCAGAUAUUGACGCUCAUGCACGAAAGCGUGGGGAUCAAACAGGAUUAGAUACCCUGGUAGUCCACGCCCUAAACGAUGAUUACUCGACAUACGCGAUACACUGUGUGUGUCUGAGCGAAAGCAUUAAGUAAUCCACCUGGGAAGUACGAUCGCAAGAUUG